UGCGUAGAGCGUGAGAUAAGUCGCGGCCGCGAGUAGGGUGGGUGUAGUAGGAGUGGUGGCGCGAGCUUUGGCACUGAGGAGCGUCAUCAAUGCGCGUGGUGGGGGUGGGCUGAUGUUUGGAUUUGGUGAUCUUAAUGAGCUUUUCCAACCUGAAUGAUGCUAUGACCGAGCCGCCACGUGGUCACCAGUUUUACUUCAGGCAGAACUGUGUUGGAAGAGCAAAGGCUCAGUACCUGCCCCACUUCAGAUCUUCUACGUGACCAGCUGGAAAUUUCAUGAAUCACAGAAUGUGUCAUGAUUUGACUGAAGUUUACUGAAAGAAGUAGCAAGCAGAAAAGUCAGCUAGCACACAAAUAGACUUGUGCCCUUCAAACUAAUGAGCUUACCAGUGGCAUUCUCUGGAAUUGGUGCUCUUUUGGAAUUGCAAGGAACUUUUAUACCAGUUGUAUGUUGUUGUGCUUAAAGCUGUUGUAUUAACAGAAGUGUAAGAGAAAGCUUCUCUUGGCCUGCCAUAAGGACAUUAUCCAGCAGGUGGAGUUUGACAGGAUGGUGAGCACAGGCCAAGUAGACAAGGGCGAACAAGUUACUGGCACACAGGAGCUGAAGAUUGCAUGAGCAUUGAACACCUAAUAGAUUGGCACAUAAGUGCUUGGGAAACCGAAGAGUUCCUAUUAAAAUAUAUCAGCUUUAAAACAGACAAGACCUGUAAAGAGAGACAUCUUGUACCUACUCCACAGCUGGACCAUGAGAAAACUUGAUGCCAUUGGAGACCAGUGUUCCUAUGGAACUGAUUUUCUGACCAGGCUGUGUCAUGGAAAGGAAAUGUAACUUGAGGAAGUACAGCUGUGGUGGAGGAACACGUGUACUGGGCCCUAAGACCUGACUCUUGUAACAAGAACUAGAACAACAAAGACAAGAGAAGGAAAUUAAGGAAAGAAGGAUGACUCACAACUUGUAUAUUGAAGAUCACAUUCAGAAAUGGUGACAAAGAAGCUAUGAACAAAUCAAGAUUGAAAAAAAAGAAAAGAAAAAACAGCAUUUAUGCCAGGAAAACUCAAUUGUUUGAGUGCUCAUGGAAAAGAAAUGCAAGAGCUGCCUUGGUAUCACUAAAGCAAGUUCACUGAAAAAUAGGACACUUUGAGAAGGACUCAGAAACAGCAUUUGGAAUGGAGAACUCAAACUGCAUUGUAGGCCGAACUAAUGCCUGAUAUUUAAGUAUAGGGGAGAUGUGGAGUUCUGAAGCUGAAAUUGAGAAGCCUGGAUCUGACAUGGAAUGUAAAGGAAUGACAAAACUGGAUGCCAAGAGGCGUUUUCAGCAGCAGUAUUGCCAGGACACUGAAGAAACCAGAGAGACAAGCAGGAAAAUGGGAAAUGUCAAAAGUCUCUACCGUGGUCUCAGGAUCAGAGAGAGGAAGGAUGUUUCAGAGAACAAUCUGAAAGGGAAAUGUGAGAUUUGGCAGCAGGUUAGCUAAGGAAGAAAUAAGAGUGAAAGAAGAGUCAGCUUGGGGAGUACUGUAGGCUGUCUCUACUGUAAGAUAAAUUCACAGCAAGCCCAGUAUGUCUAAGCAGUAUGAAUGAGCUUGUAUUUUAAUGCCCAAGAGGUGAGGGAAAAAAUAAAUUUCCUUUGGUUGAGAAGACAAAAAGUGGCUUCUUUCAUCCACCUGAGAAGGAGUAGGGCUGCAGGCACGGUAGACAAGAAGUCAGAUGCUGUGGCAUGCCAACUGCCAAGACACCUAGCAAGUCUGUCUUUCCUUGUCCUCCUGUGUUGUUUUUUUAUCACCCUGCUGGUCUGCAAGGUUAUAUGCUGCUUCUUUUUUUCCCCCAUCCUGAUUACUGCUUGCUUUGCUAAUAAGGGAAUAAUGAUGAGGAAGUAUGUCAUACAAAUUGUUAGACAAAGAUAAGGAUGGCUACAGGGAUAGCGCCAACUGAGAAGGCAGCAACAGUGAAAUUGACUGUUUUUAGUAAUCACAUGAGAAGAAAUACAUGCUUUUGUUUUCAGAGUAAACAUUUUACUGUCUAGAUGGAAAAGUCCAGCAGCCAAAGUUGUUAUUACAAGCUGAUUUAAAGACACAGGUGAGGAAGUACUUGAAGAUAUUUGUUUGCUUCGUGUUGGCUUUAUAAGACGUGGCUUACUGGUUUCUGAAGGCUUGAAAAUGUCUUGCAGUUUUUCAUGUUGACUGGUAAAUCCUUUUGUGCCUAGAGUGCCAUCCCCUCAUAGAGUCACUGUUCAUAAUACUGAACUAUGACUGUAUAUGAGAAGGAUGGUUGUACAAUCAGAGGAUCUGAAAAACUGCUAUGUCUGUUGUUCUUAAUACUCUUAAGGCUUUAUAAUGCACUGUAUUUUCUGAACUGAUGCAAGAACAAGCCUUUGAUGAUAGAAAAACUGCAGUUUAUAGUACAGAAGGAAGUGUGAAUUGAUUUUGCCAAUUUGGGAAAUGAAAUAGGCAGUACAGAAGUUCUUAGACCCACUUUCCCAGUUGAAAAGCACUUAGGUAAAACUGGACAAAAAGCCAGAGGAGAACUAAGUGAAAUUUCACACUCAGUGAGAUGCCUCACGUCUGAGCAACCAGCCAGACCUUAGUGUUUUAAUAUCCCUAAUCUAUUCUGUGCUUUAAUGAGAUCUUGAGCUAUUGGCUCUGAAGAUUAUUAGUGCCCUGGUGAAUAGCCAUUCAAUCUUCAGGCGUGUGAUGAGAAUUUGCUUCCUCUUUCAAUCCUUCAGCUUCUUGGCUAGAAUUUAUUAUUUCCCUAAAUAAAAGCAGCUGCAAAAUUUCAUUAGGUGUUAUAGUACCCCUUUCUGCUGUAUUUAACCUUGUCUCAUUAAAUAGAUUACAUCCUUGCCUCUUGUAAUUAAGUGCAAAUCAAACACAAUAUUUUAAUAUUAUAUUAAAAAUGUAAGAAAUAGGACGCCUUUUCAGCUGCCAUUCUGAAAUUCCUGAAGGCAGGAGUGCUACUUUGACAGUGACAAAUUCUUCCAGAAACAUCUGGUCUAUAAAGUACAUUUUCUCCUUAUAGAUCUGAUAGUAAAAUCAUAAAUACCAAAGACAAAGUGUUCUGUUCUGUCACACUUGAAUUCCAUUUAAAGAGAGUUCUUUAUCUAUUUCAUCUGUUCAGUAUCUGAGUGAUUUAACUACCUGCAAAGGCUUCUGUUGAGUAUGGGUUUUCUGGACACCAGCAAUCUUAAAUAUUAGAAGAGCCCAGGCUGUAGAGAAAAAAAAAAAACAUGAAUCUAAUAAUGGGUUGUGUAUUAAUUCAGCAAGCCUUUGGUUUUAUUUAAUAAGCAAAGAAAAAUUAUACUUCCACAAUCUACUGAGAGUCCAGUCAAACUAUGUGAUAAAUACUGACAAGAAAAAAUUAUCUUGCAUGUUCUAAAGUUGGGUCAAGAGAAGCACUAUGAACCCACACCUUCCUUAUGUGAACUUGCUAAGUCCCACGUCUAAAUUUCAUCCAUUUAACAUUUGUCACAUAACUGGGGUCCUUCAGUUAAGUUCUUUGCAGAAAUAAAAGAGGAAUUGUCUGUUUGAGGGCUUUGAUGUUGCAUCUCUCUUGAAAGCACCUUUCUCCCUGUGCUGACUGUAAGGUUGUGCAGGGCAGCAGUGCUGAUCUGAAGUUGGAGAUGUAAGUUCAGUGGUAUUCUCUGUGCUCAAUGUAACCAAAAUGCACUGUGUGUCUCCAUCCUAUACCUUUGGAGUUAAGCAUUAGGUAAAUAUAGAGCAUUUCCCCAAGUUUGUUUCAGGUAUGAACUAUGUGUAUGCUAUUAGCUAUCUCUGUAUCCAGGAGAGAUUUAUGUUGAUAAUAUUAUCAUUAACUCUAAUUUGAUUUCAAACUGAGUCACUGAUUACAUGGUUUCUAAGUCUCAGAUUCUGCUUCCUUGGGGAAGCAGAGGUGAGAAAGUUUGCAUGCUAUUGCAUAUAUAAUUAAAAACCACUUCCCAUUAUGUAUAUAUGCUGUCCCUGCCCUGCUAUACUGUCCUUUGCUCCUUUGCACCUUUUCCAUCCUAGCUGGUAGUGAUGCAGCAGCAGUCAGUCCGUUCUGUUACGUGUGCCUGAGUCGGGCUGCAGCCUUUUCUUAACAAGAGCCAAGGGCAGGUAUCAUGCUGCUCUGAUUUACCUGCAUGGCUGCGUUAGACCCAGUCAUUUCAAAGUUCUUAAUGAUGGCAAUUUAUCAAACAAGCCUUAAAAUAAUAGGCACUGUUUCCAAAAUGCCAUGGCAUUAGCAACCCACUCUUUAUGGAGUGGCAUAAUGUUUUCUUAAAAAAAUAUGUAAUGGACAAAUAAAUAACAACAACGACAAAAAACCUCAAAAAGAAAUAAGAAAAACACCUCCCCCACCCCAUGUUUGGAACAAGCUCGAUACGUGGUAUGUUUUCACAUUGUUUAGUACAGUCUGAAAAUUGCCUAAGUGCACAAAAUGGGUCACCCUGAUUAUGUUUUGAGGCUGUGAAUUCUUGCAAGAAGUUGUUAAUGCACGAGCAGUCCUGCUCAGCAGAGUACGUUACAGCAGGAGCACGGCUACAGCUUACUGUGGGAGGUGGGAAGUGGCUCAGUUUGAGAUCGGAUGAGAACAGCCAACUACUUCACCUGAAAAGAUCUCUCUCUAGAGGAAGGUCAGGCUAAUUCUGCUAGAAUCGUGCAAACCAGUAAUUUGAAGUGCUCCUUGCAGUGAAUCGAUGGAUGUGCAUUACUUUGUGAAAGUGUGCAUUAAUGUUUGUAAGUAUUAACACUUAAAAUACAUUCCUUGCUCUCUCUUAGUUGAUAAUGUCAUCUCUGGAAGUGUUUAGCAAAUUAUAAAAUGUAAUUAAUACAUAUAUUUGUGUGUGCAUGGCUUAUAUUUGUCUCUUUUUGAGAGGGCAAGCCUUAGGCUGAAGUGCUUGCUAUUUUGCAAAGCCUUGAGGACUGUACUGACCUGGUAAGUCAGAAGUUGUUCCAUCUUCUGUUUUGACAGUAGGAAUAGGAAGAGAAUUGCUUUCCCUACAGUGCCAAAGUGAGAAGGAACUUAACACUGAUCUGUGAGCUUUUUAGCUCUGUAGGCUGUGUCAGUGUAGGAAAUUGUAUGGAUGAAUGGAUGCGGAUCUACAGAAACAAGCAGGUGUUGGUGCAGGCUCAAGGUACUCAGUAUAUAUGCAUUCAGGAGGGAUGAGGGAUUUAACGAUGAUCUGAUCACUUAGGAUCUUAUUUUGUGAACUGAAUGCUUAUUUACGGUUGAAGUGCACUUCCUAUUUAGUUUCAUCUGAAAGGAGUCUAGGUAGUGCACGCCAGAAGUAAUCCACCGUAUGAGCCAAAGCAGGUGAGUGGGGACAGUCAGGAGGUGUACUUCUAAUAAAUGGGUUUAUUUCUUAGGAAAUGUCUUGGCUCUACUGUUAUUGCUCUAGCACGAUUAAGGUCUUGGCUACUGAAGUAUAUUGGUGGAAUGUGAGAAGCAAUCAAAACCAAUUCAGCAUCCUGGUAGUUUUGCUAUGGCUCAACAGGAGCUGGAUCUGAGAAUGAGUGAGAGAAGCAGUCAGUCUCUAUUGUUCGGCCUCUGUGAGUAAAAACAUAACAAUUAGAAACUGGAAAAGGAGUUAAUGCCAGGCUUGCGCUGGUAAUGAUUGACUUUUCCAUUCAUGUGGCUGCAUAUACAAGGCCAUCAAGAGAUGAGGAAUAAGGAUUGUAUUUACCAAACUCAGUGUAUUUCUGUGAGCUCUGUACUUACUGUUGCUGCACUAAUGUGGCUAUUUCAGGACUACUGGUUUGUAAAAUAAGAUACUUCAUUUUUACCAUCACUCAUAUAAGCUUGGCAUUCUACUGGCAUUGCAUUAAGGAUAUAAAUUCAUCUUCUGAAAAAACAAACAUUGAUAGUAUAAGAAAUUGGAAAUUGCUAAUAUUAACUUCAAAUGAUAAGGUGUCAGCUAUUACAAAUUCUAUGGGGCACAGUGUAAUUUGGAAACAAAAGAGACAGCUAAAAGUAAGAAUAUAUGUUUUCAACAAACCGUGUGGCCGUGCUGUACCUUCAGCACAAUAUAAUCUCAUGGAUUAGAGAAACUUCUACUUAACCCUCCAGUAUCAGGGUUCAUGUUGCUCAUCUGUCCACUUGCUGCUUGCAGAAUGGAGCUCAUCACUAGCUGUCACAGGAAGCUUAGUCAGCUCUGUUAAAUAUAUAGGAUGUCUGAUUUUCAGCUGUAUGAUGAAGCUUAACAUCUAAUCUUAAUGUUGGGUACAGUCAGCUGUAAAGGAAAAAGCUGUUUGGAAAGCUCAGAACUCGUAUGGCUGAGCAGAAUUUGCUUAUAACGCCGGUGAAGUAGUACAGGUCUCAUGAGCUAUGACCGCUGAGUGAGUUUAAUUUCUAUGAUAUCAUAAGUGCGAUUCUCUCAUGCUUUCCAAGGCUAAGUAAGGUGUAGCUAUAAUCAAACAUGUAGCCAUUAAAGCUGCUUAGUCCUAGAGUCAGAUUCAUUUCCUGUCUUCAAGCACUAGUGGACUGUUGAAAUUUGGGAUGCAGGCCUACGAUGACACAAAAUGCGUUAUAAUAUACUUGGUGGGAACCUCUGCCAUUAUUAUUAUUUAUUUUUUAAAUGUCAGUUGUCAAACUGGAAACGUUUUUCAGGGAAAAAAAAAACAAAAAACCCAAAACAUUUUACUGAGGAUUUCACAUGCACAGUUUUGGAAUUAUAAUGACCAUCCAGAAGGAAUUUAAUUGGUGAUGAAAUUCAAACUUAGUGCAAGUCAUUUUUUUUUUUAAUGGAGAAAAAAAAAAAAGUCUUGUAUUUAAUCUGGAAUAAAAAUACUUUUGAGAUCUCAAAAAUAUUGGCAUCUUUUUUCCUGUGCAGGCUACUGAGAACUGGGCUUAGUCCAGAAAACCGGUGGCAAUGGCUUGGAAAUGCACGGAAGCACAUAAUCUUGCAAAUCAAGCUGCUAAUGGAAACUGGGGUAUGUCAUUUUUGCUCUCUAUUCCAAGUUUGUUGGUAGCUACCAUCUGGAAUUUAAAAACAUUAAUGAUGAUUAUGAGAUUAGAAGGAUAAAAAGCCACAGCAGCUCUCAGAUAUUACAGCAGAGCUUUUCCCAUGUGCCUGAGGGAAAAGUACUGUAUCCCGUGCAGAAUAUUUUCAGAUUAUUUUAAUUCAGUUGAUUUUUAUUUAUGCAUAUAUUUUUAAUGAUUGAACAAUUGUUCAAAGCCUUUAAAAAGGAUAAAGGGAAACGUUGGGUGCAUAAUUCAUGUGCCAUUUGCAGCCAACCAUCUUGCACAACCAGGAAGGUUCAGAGGAAGAAAAGUACAAUUCAAAAGGAGAUGCUGGGCUGUGAAAUAAGGAAAGAAGCAAAAAUCUCACACUUCCACAGUUUGAACUGUGAAAUGUUAAUUAAGUAUAAAGGAAAAACAUGUUGAAGCUUCAGAGCAUUAUGUCCAAGGCAGAGGAAGUGUCAUGGUUAAGGGUGAAUAUGACUGCAACAUGGCAUGCUGUCUUGCACAGUCAGUUGACUGGAAAACAGAUCCUGAUGCACAGGAUGGAAUGAGCAGGUCUGACUGGCGGGGACAAGGAAUGGAGGUGAAUGGCAGUGGGCAUUCUUCUUUUCUUCUUUUCUUUUCUUCGACAGGUGCCAUCCAAGGUAGAUCCUCAGUCACUGGGUAGGUACCAAACUGUGCCAGGCGUGUAUCCCCUUCCUCUGAAAUGCAACAUUUUGGGGGAAGAGCAGAGAGCCUGCCCAGGCACUCAGUGGGCUCAGUCCAGCCAGGAAUGCUUGUUUUGUUCAUGUUAAGAAGGAUGAAAGAAGGGCAAAGUGUGUGGAAAGUAAGCCCUCACUUAGAAAAAGAAUUUCUGGCUCAAACUAGGUGUAAGCAAAGUUCAUGCAAAUCGUGUUCUAUUAGCAUAUAUGCUGUUUACUUGGGUUUUUUUUUUCCUAGUGCUUUUGUCCUAAACUGGUUAUUUUGGAUUGCAAAUGUGAGGCAGUGAUCAGCUGGUUUUCUGUCAUCACCUGAAGGAGCCACUCUGUGGAUGCUGAAGUGCACUCAGAACACAGGAGAACAGUCACCACGAGUUACAGGGAGACCUCAGAUCAGUGUCCUGCUCAGGAAGAAAAGAAAGAGGUUCUGAUCAGAGGAAGUUGACAGCUUGUCCUUAAAAUUAGACAUGCCCUUGAGGAAACCACACAGGGAUCACAAUUUCCAUCAGCUCCAGAGACGUAGUAGUUGCUAGAGGGGUCAUUUACUUAAGUGGUUGGUACUUUCUGGAGUAUAUAUAAAGAAAAGAAAGUAAGCUAUUACAUUAAAUAGCUCUUAAGUAGGAUGGAACAAUGAGGUUGGUGAAAAGUAGUGUUUAUAAAUGUUACUGAAGAAAAAAUAAUCAGCAGAUGAAGAAGUACAGUUAUUAACACAAAUGAUUUCCAUGCAUGGAUUUGCAAAGCUCUUAGUCCAAACAAACGAUUUAGGUAAUGCCAGUAGAGAUGGAUGGCUGUUCCUACUGAGCACAGAAUUAAGAGAAAAAGAAAGCUGGUGACAUCAGUAUCAUCUGAUUGAAGGUGAACCUAAGCUAAAGAAAUCUGGAAGUGUGUUCAGCCCAGAGCACAACCUGGCAUUACACAAAGCUGUGUGCUGGAGAGGUUAGGGAAGCCGGACAGCUGAUAUCCAUCAAGGAGAGAGAGCUCUUUCUGUGGUGGGCUGGCUAAUUGUUUGUUUAGGCAUUCAGCUGGGUUGCAGAAGACUUGUGUUUGGUUUCAGGUUUGUUUAAAACACCCUAUGCUCCCUGGACCGUUAAUUAUUUGACCUCUGUUGUGGUUCCUAUGUAAGAUGUUGGUAUAAUAGUUCUUUUCAUUGAGGAUAUAUGCUGGUAACCAACCGAAAAGGUCACUGCCCAGGUGCUGUUACUCUGUGUUCCACCCUAUAAAAGACAGAGAAACCAGAAUGGGUGUUUUCUUUCUGUAAGCUUCACUAAUGAAAUCUAUUCUCACUGGAGCUCAUUGAUCAACGUUGUUUGAUGAAUGGUUAUUUGCUUGAUCUAAUGUUUACUGAAGUCAGCAGAAAUCUUUCACUGGACAUUUAAUUUUUAUUUUUUUUCCUGUCUUGCUGCUGUGCUUUAUGGCCAAUGAACCGGCGGAGGAAAAAUGCUCAGGAAUAAAAGCCCUUGGGAUGAGUAUGAAGGAACAGAGAUCUUCAGGGUUAUACAGUUUGUAGCUUUAAAGUAAUGAUAACUUCUUUCAGUUCCAGUUGGAAGACCCCAGAGGCCAAGAUUAACCUUAAUACAACACGUAGGUAAAGAGCAGGAGGUGGAGGAGCACGUGGUACAACAAAGGGUCAUGUCUGGAAGAUGGAGGGAAGGGGGAGCAAACCAAAUAAUUGGUUAUUAUUAGCAACUAAUUACUGUAGAUACUAUGAAUCUUGUGAGAAGCAAUACUGAAAUAGCCGCUGUGGUUUUUAGUUGGAUUAAGCUGUAUUUCAGUCUCAAACUUGUGAAGCUGCAGACACAUAACAUGUGCUGAAGCACAGGUUUAGCUUCUUUAAGAAAUAGAGGUUACAGGUGCAUGUGAUUGUACAUGUACAGCAAAUUCUUUUGUUUUCAAGAAAAUCUUUUAAUUUGAGCUUGAAACUGGAUCCUGCUGGCCUUAUUUUAGACUAGAAGUCUAAAGACUGGAUAAAGAUAGCCUUGCUUUAGUGCAGCAGCAGCAGAUGAAUCUCUGACUUCUCACAAGGUGGUGAUAGCAGUGUGGGUUCUUUGCAAUGCCUAUACUGGAAAAUACUUUCACCAAGGCAGAAUCAGACAGUAAUGAAUUAAUUCCAUUGUGUAGUUCAUCUACUUUGCUUGAUGUGGAUGGUUCUUUUCUGGCAUUGUAUGGCAAUCAUCGUUUUGGUGUGUUUAGACUCUCAUCACAUCAAGGUCCUGAUUUAGCAAAUACCUGGAACAGAAUCUCUAAGUACUGGGAUGUUCUAUGAAAUUGAACAUGUCAUUCAAGUGCUUUAAGGAGGCUUAGUGUAAUUUACUCAUUUUGUCUUUUUGCUGAUAGUUCCUGGAGGGAUUUUUAUGCCUUUAGGACAAAUUAUCUGAUGAACCUGCAAUAAAAAGCAGGACUUAGUCCUAGAGAACAAGAUUCCAAGUGGGUCUUUAAAUUCCACAGCCAAAGCAUCUUUAUGUGGUAAGGAGCAGCACACGAGGCCUUCAGAUGAGACAUUUUCCACAGGAUGAGAAUUCAGUGAAAAUGUAUUUUGAAAAUCCUGCCCUCACUUGAUAUUUAUUCUGCUAUCCAUUUGCAUGCAUUGUCUUUGAGACCAUAUAUUCUAUACCAUGUUAUUGGACAGUGAUAAAUGGCUCAACAAAGUUAAAAUUUAAUGAGAAAAGGGCAAUGAGAUGUUGUGCUUUUAUAAUGACUUAUCUGGCUUGUACAGAUAAGAUUGCGUAUGAAAUAUAAUAAUGUUAUCAAUGUAAUCUAUGUUACUUUGGACAUUACCAUACUUAUGAUUCAUUAACAGUAACUGUUUUGCUAUGUAGCUUUCUGUACUGGUUAUGUUGCUUGGCAACAUUAACUCCAAGAUAAUGAUGUCUUACUGCCUGUGAUUAAAUAAUGCUUUUUCCCCCAUAUUGUUUAUGAUAUAUCUAGCUUAUUUAUUUUCUUGUUUGCAAACUCUGUUCCUUAUUUUUCAUGCCAAAUAUAGCAAGGUAUGUAUACGUUCCUUGAAUAAUUCUGUGCUUAAAAUUCACCGCAUAUAUUCCCCUACUAAAGUGAAUGCAAAUAGCAAAAUAGUAUGAUGGAAAAAUAAAACCAGUGCACAAUAAUGCGAAGAACAUAAAAUGGAGAAGCAGUCUGUAGAACUACUGCUGAUACUGCUGAAUAAAUCCUUAAAGCCUUUUCAGCAGAAGUGCGUUGCUAAUAACCAUGGAUAAUGCCCUAGUUCUAUGAUUUAAUUCUCCUCUUAAAUAAAUAAAUAGGAAGCUAUGGGGCUUGCCCAUAUGCAGUGCUAAACUUUGGAACUUGACCAAGAAAAGUGAAAUACUAUACGCUGAAGGGUAGUAAAUGUCUUCUGAUGCUAUUAGUAGAUGGAUCAAUGUAGUUUAAUAGUAUUUACAGUAGUACAUUGGACCUCCAUGUUAACAGUAUUCUGUACUAAUACCUGAAGCAUAGCACACAUUAAAAUUGAUAUCGGGUGGCUAUUGAACAUAUUUUAAAUGAUUCCGUUAAUUCCUGCAGAGCUUAUCACCAUGGUGACAGCGACAGAAAUUGAACAAACAGGAAAAAAAUUCAGAAUUGAUCCAUCCUAAAUGAGAUUCCAAUGGGAUUUAGAGUCAUGCUUAAAAACUGGGAGCCAAAUAUAAGAGUGAGCGCUCUUCAGCUGAUAGUAUACCCCAUAUCUCCUCCAAGGAGGGCUUCUGUCUGCAGGUUUGGUCCCUGCAUCAUACAUUGCUUUCCAGAUGGCACCACCUAGGAAGUGAUGGUUUUGGAACAGAGGCCUAGAUAGUAAGCUGUGUGCUUCCAAUGUACUGGCAUUAAAUCAAUAAUUCUUUGUGGUUUUGUCAUCUGUAACUGAAGUGUUAAUACUGGUAUGGAUGCAGUAUGAGUGGAAAUGUGCAUGUGACAGCACCAGAAAUUACAGCCAAGUAAAUGUUAAAAGACUGGGACUUGUACCAAACACUCAGCGUGCUGCUCCCAAGGCUCUUUACUCAGGUGUAACGAUGUUGUUAAAUCCACAUGAGAACAUCAGCCCUCUACAAGACUCCACAGCACAGAGGAAGACCUAGGAGGGUGGCAGAAAGUUGCAGCAUGUCAUGCAUACCAAUCCUUUAAGGUUUUCCAACAGGACAGUGUGCCCUUCAAACCAACAAGGAAAAAUGGAGGACGCACAGAAAGCUUGGCUACAACCUACGGAGCUACUGGAGUCAGAAACAAAGCACUGACUGCCAAAACAGCUCUUCAGCCUCUCCAGGUCUUGUUGAAUGGCAGCACAGCCAUCUGGUAUGUCAGUCACCUGGCUUCGUAUCAUCAGCAAACUUGCUGAGGGUGGACUCUAUCCUUCAUCCAGAUUGUUGAUGAAGAUGUUCAAGAAGAUCAGAUCCAGCGCUGACCCCUGGAGAAUGUCACUAGUUACAGGUCUCCAACAAGGCUCUGAGCCUCUGAUCACAACCCUCUGAGUUCUGCCUGUUCUCAAUCCACACUUCCUAAGCUUACCUAUGAGGAUGUUAUGGGAGACAAUGUCAAAAGCCUUGCUGAAACCAAGGACGGAUAUUGCAGUCUCAUUAUAAGCAGGCUUCUGCUUCUCCUUAAGAGAAAUAAAGACCUAAUAACACUGUUUCUCAAAGACUAAAACUAGGGGUCCCCUGUUCUUUUCAGCAACAGCCCCACAUUUUCCCCAGAACUCUUUUUGCUGCUGAUAGACCUGUUGAAGCUCAUUGUCUUGUACUUCACAUCCACGGAUUCAACUCCAGAUGGGCCUCCGUUUAAAUGUAACAGGAAUGCGUAAUACUUUUGGAGGAGACAAAAUAUCAUCAUCACUCAGCUGGGGCUUCUGUGACAAGUGUGUCCUGGAUGUGAAGAGGAAAAGAAAUUGUGCCAUUUCUGUUAUUUUUGAUGCAUGCAUAUACUUAUGUGCAUCUCUAUACACUGUACACCGUUCCCAUUGGCAAUAAUAAUCCAAAUGAGAUGUCACUUGGUUCUCCACUUUUAUUAUACAGAACAUAGAAUAGUGUGUGUUAUGGUGCUGUAUGAGCUACCAAGCCAGAUCUGCAAUAUUUGUUAAGAUGGGAAAUCCACAAAUAAAGCAGCUGAGAAUUCAACACAUCUACUUUUGAGAUGGCAUGAAUGUAUUCACGUGUUGUAUGAGCUGAAGGACUCUGGGUUUCAUAGAUGGGAGGAAAGGAGGUUAUAGUCAGAAGCAAAUAGUAUGAUCAUCAAGAAAUUCCAUUUAUUUCUUGAGUUAUAAGAAAUGAGAGUAAUGGCCUAUUCUUACUGUUUGACGGAAGGUGCGCCAAUAAGUAUCUGCUUUAUUAGAACUAGGAAUUUAUUUAUAACAGGAAUAAAAGCUCCACUGUCACCUGUGAAAUCUCAUUUCAUGCUAUUUAAUAUUUGUCAGAUUGCUCGGAAAUCAAAAAGCAAAAGAAGGAUCGGUUGAAUAGUAAACACUUAAGUCUUCCAUUUGUUUCUAUCAGUAAUUUGGCGCCCAUGCUUUUUUCUUUUUCUUCACCUGGAAUUGUUCCCAUUCCAAGAUCCUGCUCUUUUCCAGGGUAGCAUACUUGUUUAUACUUACACAACACAAAUAUUUUGUCCAAGCUAACACGUUUCUAUCAUUUGCAGACCCGGAACCAAAGAGUUUGUCUCAAAAAGUAAGUAAAUCUGAUAGACCUUUUCCAAACUCAACAUCUGUCAGACUUAAUGCAAAUACAUUUAGUGUGGGGGGUACGGAGAGGAUUCUUUGCUUGAUAAUGUGUCUUGAAAUGCUGUCUCUCUACCUGAGUUCUCCAAGUGGAGCAGUCCGUCUGUGUCCUGAGGAAGCUGAGCCACCAUGGAGGUUCAUGACCCCAUUUGCAUGCAGCAAACCAGGCUUCCAGCCCAGCAGACUGUGGUUAAUGUUUGCAGAUCUAGAGGAUUAUGCUGUUGACUGCUCGGUUAAACACGUGAUGUAAAAUAUCCUCACUUCCCAGCAAGAGUUUGUUUUGGACCAGCAUACGUUUGGCAAUUAUUAAUUUUACCAAAUGCUGUAUCAAAAUGGCAUAUUAACGGUGAAGGUUACUGUUGAUAUCAGCUGUUUUCUUCUCCUUAAAACUACACCUACUCUCAGUACUGUCUUGAGUCCUUGACCUAAAGCUGGAGAGGUCUUAUUUGAGUCACCACGUGGUUGUGAAUUAAAAUUUCUUAGGCAGGGAAUUUUUGUGGACAUAAUAACUAAGUCUAGUCUACUUCCAUCAAGUUAUAUCAGUCCUUGCAAGUGUGAUAGCUGUGGCCUGAAAGCUGUUUUCUUAGGGAUGGUAGUUCCAUUUUAUGCUAAUGUUUUGGUGACAUCCUUCAUUACGUAUCCUUUAACACUCUUACAUUCUUGAUCAAAGCACACGAAAGCCCACAGAAAUUCUCUCAAACCUUUAUUUCAUUUAGUGCAAGUGCCAUGGGCAUCACAAUCACUUAAACAUUCUUUCUAAAUGUCUGUCAGAUUGCAUUUCGUAUUGGUCUGACCGAACUUCCCCACAUCUGAAAGGUCAUGUCAGGCUUCAUUCACUGCAAGUCAGCAUAGCCUCUGCUGACAGCCUGCAGAUAUCUGCAGAUCUCGUGAAGGUAGCUACAUGCCUUGGUUUGUUGUUGCUGGAAUUUGACCGAUAAGAUUAAACCUUGCCUCCGUUUUCAGCCUGCAGAGGCAGAUUCUUAAGGCAAUCAACUCAAACAUUGUUCUUCUCUAAUGCUGUCUUUCUUCUUCCUUAUGUUUCAGCGUAGUACUGAAAUAUUUGUGAUUUCUGAAAGUCUUGCUGGUUUUUCCUUAUUUAAAAACAAUACUGUCUCUGGCUGCUGAUAUAACUCUCGUUAACGCCCCUUGUUAUCGCUUCCCAUUUGGAACUAUUCUUGAUCUGCUUUUCCUUUUGGAAGCGGUCUCUUUAUAAAAGCCUUUUACACAAAGGGGGAAUCUUGUAAUGUUUUUGAAAAAAUCUGAUUUCAUUUCUCAUUAUCACUUCAUCUGAACCUGGAGCUCAUCUUCUUGGAUUCAGGUAGUUCCUUAUCCCAUCUUAGUUUUCCUUUUCAAGAUAUUACUUUUACAAUUGGAAUUUGACAUCCCUUUUGAAACAGCACUUAGAACUGUAGAUGGUAUUCAACCAUCAUGAAAGGCAGCUGGCUCUUUACGUGCAGAGAUUACCCCUUGGGAAUAAAGACUUCUCUCCAGUCCUGCUCAGAUGCAGGAAUAUACUGGGAAAAUGUAACCGGACUCUUGCAUCAGACCAGUUUUGACAGUUUUAUGCAGUUCACAUAUAUUUGGCUACUGUACAAGAAAAAGAAACUGUAUGCUUUAGGUAAUGUAAACUUUACUAUCAUAAAAAUAUCACUGCUGAAUCGCUGCAGUAUUUCAUUUGAACAGCACGAUGUGAAACUGCAUGUAGAAGGUGAUGGGCAAUUGAACAUAGAAAGAAAGGUAGACAGAUCUUGUUUGAGUCUGGAUGAUACGUAUAUAAAAGUUUGCUGGCAGUUACAUCCAUAAACAAACACUUUGGCAAGAGCUGCUGUUAUUGGUUCAAAGGAAAGAAAAGAAUUCUUAGUCUCUACUCUCACUACAACUCCCUGAAAGGAGGCUGUGUGAGGUGGGGUUGGCCUCUGCUCCCAGGGAACAGCCACAGGACGAGAGGGGAUGGCCUGACGUUGUGCCAGGGGAGGUUCAGGUUGGCUGUUAGGAACAAUUCCUUCUCCCAAAGAGCGGUGAGGCAGCGGCACAGCUGCCCAGGGAGUGGUGGGGUCACCGUCCCUGGAGGUGUUCAGGAGCCAUACAGAUGUGACACUGAGGGAUGUGGUCAGUGGGCACAGUGGGGUGGGCUGGAGUUGGACUUGAUGAUCUUUGAGGUCUUUUCCAACCUUCGUGAUUCUAUAAUCAAGUAAAGUCAGUUGUACCAACAAAAAUACUUUGAUAUCAGCAUUAUUGUGCUUAUAUUGGAGCAGCAGUGAAGAAUUCGUAUAAAAAUACCCUGAGAAUAAUAUUCACUAGUGUUUCUAAAUCAGAACUUUUUUUUAGUGUGGAUUUAAACUGAUUUUUCUCAAGAUAACUACUGCUAAGUUUGCUGUUUUCUGGUUUUUGUUUCUGUCCAUGAUUUGUCUUCUGCUGGCCUUGAAAUCUAGUUUUUGAAACUAUUUCUAUCAAAUUAUCUUAUCUUGGUGUUAUAACAUUAUUAUGAUUUGUUGUUUUCAGCUUGGCAGUCCUGCUUAAGAGCAUACAUCAUUUGCAUUCAGUUAAGCUAUUAUUUGCACCAAGUUCAAGUGCAGCAGCUUUUCUGUUUUCCCUGGAACACUGUUCACGUUUUAAACACGUAACCAUUCUAGAUCACCUAUUCCAUAGCUUGUGUAACUCUACAAAAAUCACAUUUGCUUUAGGCAGUAAACCAGCCUAAAGCUGAAAUACUGACUGUGACCCUUUGGAAAGGUGUAAGGAGUUUAUCAGAAGAAGCGUUGUGUCCUUUUGGCAAUGUCACAAUUAAUUAUCCUCCUCCCAUUGUAUAUCUAGCAUGUAUAUCACUAUCAGUUGGCCAGGGCAAGCAGAAAUAUGUUGUUAUUCUGUAUUUCACAUAUAAACUAUUUUAUAUUUAGGUAGGUGAUGUUAUUAAAGAGUGGGUGGAAUUGUGAAGACUUACCCCAGAACUCUACUAAGAUCAUAUGUUUCUUAGCCCACCAUUAAUCUAACAUCUUUACACCUUAACUGUUACGUUUCAUACCUUCUGAUGCUGUCUUAGGAUGUGUGUUUAAUAAUAACAAUAAUAAAAAAACAAACAGAAGAAAACACAAUAUAUCUACAGUAAAUCAUAAUACACCUACAGUAAAUUACAGCUGAUCUUGUGAUUGUUUAAUGUGAACUUUACCUGCUGCAUCUAGAUAUAUGGCUUAGUGUUGGGGGAGUGAUAUAGAGUCGUUCUGUCAGUUCUACUUAAACUAACCUCAUUACUCCUGAUUUUUCCCUGAGGCUAUUUCUACCCCAUUUUGUACAACUAGAGCAACGCGAAGGGACCGAAGUUUUGCCUAGAGUUGAGUAUAAGGCAUGGACUACUAAUUUUCCUCUUCUUUUGGUGUCUAAAUAGCUGGCUUUCCUUGUUUGAAGGUACAUUUUGUUAUUAAAGCCUGAGAAGGUAUGCUCUAGGUGUUUCUUUCAUGUUUUUAAAUCUGUUGUGAUUGAGCAAUAUUUUCCUUGUAAUGUUGUUAUUUAAUUUUUAGAUGGAAAUUAAAUACAGGAAAUGAUCAGCAAACAAAAUGAGCGUCAAAAGCAGAAGUCGCUAUGAAAACUGUUUUGCCUUUACUGAAGCAGCCCAUAACCCUAGUGUUAGAAUACCUAUUUCAUACACGGAAAGCUGUCACUGUUUCAUGAGCUAUAGAAUGCCUCAUGAUUAACAUAGUAUUCCUGUUUACCACGCUGUUUAUUAUCCAGAAAAAAACUGUUCUUAAAUGCCAUUUAACUGACUUCCAAAGAACUCAGUUAUUUAAUACACACUUGAUUUCAGAUUGAUGUUAAACUGAUCAUAAUAUCUUGUUUAUUUCCCUACAUGUAAAGCAGCAGCAAAACAUGUUCUCUCUAAAAUCCACGCCAAUCUCUAGCAGCAUGUUAGCAAUGAAAAGCUUAUGGAGAGCAGUCUACAGUAAUACCAUUCACAGAUAAGAACCUUCUUAGACAUGGCUUCCUAUUUCAAAUAACAUUGAAAUGCAGCCGGUUUUAAGUGUAAAAUGAGGUAAUAUUUCUAAAGCUCACUGCUGGAAUAAUUACAUGUGGAAGCAGAUAUUUGAUGAGCGCUCUUUACAUACACCACAGCUAUAGCUUAACUCUUGAAACUGAACACAUUUAGUAAGUAGUAUCUUCACAAAUCACAUCUUUGGUAUAUUGAUUUGGAUACUAAAAAUGAACAGAUCUGAAACGAAUGACCACUUGUGUUCCCGCAUUCUGGCACAAUUCUAGCUGCAUUUGAUGCAUUUCCAUUUCCACUCGGUUACUAGUUUAGGAACCUGGGCAGAUUUAUCACUCUUGGAAGUACAUUUCAGCUUCUUGCCUCAUCAGCAGCAAGAUAUGAGACACUGACAUAUGCUAUUUUAAAUAACAGCUGCUCAUUGCUGGUCAAAUUUUUCCCAAUAAUGACAAUAUAUUUUACUGAAAUAACGAUGCUACUGUUAUAAUGUUAGAAAUUUUAUUCAGAAGUGCAGUUAUCAACCAGUGUGUGAAUGAAGAAGCUGCUUUUAAGGCUCGGGACUCAGUUAUGAGAUCUCCUUAGUUCUACCUGUUUCAGAUGCUCUGCAUUCACUGGUUACCUAUGUGUGGCUGCAUGGCUCCCAGGCGGAUGGACAGAAGAUGAGCGAUGUUUGUGGCACAGCUAACUGCUGCUCUGGCUGUGGGGAUUGCAAGCUGGUGGGCAGCAGUGGAAGGACUAUUCGUGUUUCAUAUCUACAAGGCUGAAUGUUUUGCUUCCCUUCAGGAACAGCAGGGAAAACACAGGCUGAGAUAGCUGGUAAUUGACCGAUGAUCUCACUCAACCUGGAGGAUCUGUGGUUGUUUAAGGUUUAAGGCCCCCUGAAUCAACAAGUAUAAGAAGUGAAUGCUGAUCAUGCUCACACCAAAGGCGGUGACAUAAUUUCUUCUUGCUUUGGUGGGCCCAGUUGUACCAAGAGCUACUGAGAUGAGAAAACUGUGCGUGGGCUACCAGAGAAUAUCACCUGGCCAAAACAAAGACAUCGAGUAAAGACGGGGGAAUAGCAGUGUGCCCUGGAGAGCCGAUCUAAUCUGGAUAUAAAAACGUGCUUUAUGAAGAGGAGUUUUAGUCUGAUUUGAGCUGGUGAGAAGGACAGCUCUGAGUAUUCUGUUCCACCAGUGGGUGUGGUGAGACUAUGGAUUUUGCCGUCAGGAAUUGCACCGCGACUGAAGAAUAACAGCACAGACGCUGUGUUUGCUCCUGAGAAACCAGAACUUGGUACAAAGGCAGGUAUUCCCGUGCACAGGGGGAGGAGGCACUCUUCGCUGUUCCGUUUGUUUCACAGCACUGUCACAGAGCUUCUCCCUCUGUCAGGGGCGGCUUUACUUCACCAGAAGACCAGUGAGCUCCCUCCUGACACCGCCUGAUAAGCAGUGCCCCAGAACGGUCUUUUCCUCUGCCCGCAUGCAGAACUUUUACUGGACAACCCACUCACUGCUGACGUUCUGCCUCCAGUGGGAUCACCAAGAGCUGCCACUUGCACAAAUCCAUUGGGCAGCGAUUCCUAAGAGCACAGUCAGUGCUGUGUGUGCUCCGGGCAGCGCUGCCCCUUUCACGUCUAAGCUGAGGCAGUUUGGUGCAUGGUGUAAAACACGUAG
ensembl:lncRNA